CCCGAUCCUCGUCUGCGGCAGCCGCCUGAGAGAGCAGCGCGGCCGUAGCCGGGGGCCGGAGAGCGCUGGUGCAGAUGGAUGAGUCGUGCAGGGCAACGGAGGAGAGCCCAGGGGAGCGCUGUAAGAAGUCGAGAGGAAAGGACUGAAAUGCUCGAGACGCUUUGCUGUUUGGUGCAGAGGCAAUGAACGGUGCUGCCGGGGCUGCGAGGGGGAAAGGUGCAGAGGAAUAGAAGCUCUGUGGAUGCAGCCAAGUUACGG